AAUUUACUUCCUCCGUCCAACAAAGGAUGUCUCAAAUUUAUUAAAAUUUGGAUAUAUCUAGACAUGACUUAGUAUAUAAAUGCAUUCAAAUUUAAUCAAAGUUGAGACAUCUUUUGUUGGACGGAGGGAGUAUAAA
rnacentral:pre_miRNA from 1 species